CAGGCCAUGACUGUUUAAUCACAUGAAUAAUAUAGAAAAAUUAUGAACUUCUUAGAUGGAAAAUUUCCUUGCGAAAAAUCUAUUUCGGAGAGGAUGGGCAAUUGUGUAUCAUUCUUUUCUGUUCAUAUCUCAACAUUCAUCUUCUCCACAGCC